rnacentral:rRNA from 1 species
GAUGAACGCUAGCUACAGGCUUAACACAUGCAAGUCGAGGGGAAACAGGCAUUAAGUGCUUGCACUUUUUGGACGUCGACCGGCGCACGGGUGAGUAACGCGUAUCCAACCUUCCCAUGACUAAGGGAUAACCUGCCGAAAGGCAGACUAAUACCUUAUGGUCUUCACUGACGGCAUCAGAUGUGAAGUAAAGAUUUAUCGGUUAUGGAUGGGGAUGCGUCUGAUUAGUUAGUUGGCGGGGUAACGGCCCACCAAGGCAACGAUCAGUAGGGGUUCUGAGAGGAAGGUCCCCCACAUUGGAACUGAGACACGGUCCAAACUCCUACGGGAGGCAGCAGUGAGGAAUAUUGGUCAAUGGGCGAGAGCCUGAACCAGCCAAGUAGCGUGCAGGACGACGGCCCUA